CACAGACGUAAAGGCGGCGAUGAGUAAUAACAGCUCGGCUGCUACUCGCGCGUCAGCAACCGGGCGGCCAGCGGCACGACAUCACGCCGGGUGUUGUGGAUGGUGGUGGAGUUUUAACAACAUGGCGCAUGUCAACAUACACGAGGACCGAACAUAAGCCUGAAAACAAGCACAGCAUGUGUAAAUGCCUCCUUCUGAAUCAGUUUGGUGAAAGAGGGCGAAACACCGUGGAGUAAAACCUGGUCCGUACACAGUUGAUACCUCGCACCUGUAUUGAAACCUCUGAAGUGUGUCACCACUGCACUGGAGAUCACCGUUCAGCAACAGGUAACGUACAUUCAUUACUUAAGGAGACGGCCGGACCAAGAGCAUCUCCGCGCUUAAGGAAGGCCCUGUUUCAUCCUCGGAAGAGGCUGAGUUAGAGGUAGUACCUUGCAUCCACAGACGAUGCCUUUAACCUUAAGGAUAACAGUGGUGGUAUGAGACCGGCCAGCUAAUUACAGAACAAACCAGUGGCUAAGGAAUUGCUGUCAAGGACAGGCCUACUGUUCUGGCAGCAGGACCCAGCCAUACUAGGGCAUUUUCUCCUGGAGAUAAUAUCGCAUUUGUUCUCUCAACACCAUCAGGAAGACAAACGCCGAUCGCUCAAGUCACAAGAUAAACAGAAAACAAAGGGUGCGUUUGUGCCUCACCGUCUCCGAUUUGAGGACAGGAGGCCAAAAAUCACUUUAUUUUGGCGUGUUUGGCAGAGAGAGGCAGCCCACAACAGUUCUGCCAACUUCGCACCAUGGAAACUGACAAGGAGAAGCUUAAAAAGAACAUUUCAAAAACAGAAGCAGAUCCACACGCAAAGGACUAUGGCUUAAGUGGUCAACAGUCCAUGAGACAUUAACACAGCGGCCCAGUUACUCCGGGCGAGAUAUGAAGCUCCCAAAAGAACAGCCCUAUGAUGUUAUUUUACAUCACAGCAUGUACCGCAGGUUGUAUAAUAGUUCCGCAAAUUAUUGCACAAAUAAUAUUUUAAAGCAGAUAUUUAAAUGUCAUUUGGCACAGAAGUAAAAGUCAUUUGGGAACGGAUGCAAAUGUGAGAUUAUAUGGUGACUUUGGAACUGAACCCAGUGUUUUACACACAAGUGGAAAAUGACACACUGAGGAUAAACGCAGCGCCACGAUUUCCAAAAGAUUCCGGAAAUUCACUAACAGAAGACUCUAUAAAAAGGGCGAGAGAGGAGCUGCACACAGUCUGCCGUCCCAGAUAGCUCGCUUUUGGGGGGGGGGGGGGGU